rnacentral:tRNA from 1 species
GCCGAGGUAGCUCAGUUGGUAGAGCAGCGGACUGAAAAUCCGCGUGUCGCCGGUUCGAUUCCGGCCUUCGGC